rnacentral:rRNA from 1 species
UACGUAGGGUGCGAGCGUUAAUCGGAAUUACUGGGCGUAAAGCGUGCGCAGGCGGUUUUGUAAGCCAGAUGUGAAAUCCCCGGGCUUAACCUGGGAACUGCAUUUGGGACUGCAAGGCUUGAGUACGGCAGAGGGGGGUAGAAUUCCUGGUGUAGCAGUGAAAUGCGUAGAUAUCAGGAAGAACACCCGUGGCUAAGGCGGUUCUCUAGUACGGUACUGACGCUGAGACGCGAAAGCGUGGGGAGCGAACAGG